rnacentral:rRNA from 1 species
GACGAACGCUGGCGGCGUGCUAAACACAUGCAAGUCGAACGGAAAGGCCCUUCGGGGUACUCGAGUGGCGAACGGGUGAGUAACACGUGGGUGAUCUGCCCUGCACUUUGGGAUAAGCCUGGGAAACUGGGUCUAAUCCCGAAUAGGACAACGCGCUUCAUGUGGUGUGUUGAAAGGCUUUUGCGGUGUGGGAUGGGCCCGCGGCCUAUCAGCUUGUUGGUGGGGUAAUGGCCUACCAAGGCGACGACGGGUAGCCGGCCUGAGAGGGUGACCGGCCACACUGGGACUGAGAUACGGCCCAGACUCCUACGGGAGGCAGCAGUGGGGAAUAUUGCACAAUGGGCGCAAGCCUGAUGCAGCGACGCCGCGUGAGGGAUGACGGCCUUCGGGUUGUAAACCUCUUUCACCAGGGACGAAGCGUAAGUGACGGUACCUGGAGAAGAAGCACCGGCCAACUACGUG